rnacentral:lncRNA from 1 species
GAGAAAGCAUACACGGAUUGCCCAAGAUCACGACCAGCAAACGGCGGAGCCAGUGCUGAAGCCCAGCACCUGAGUCUCCAGUGCCCCUGGCUCUGUGGUCCAACCCCCAUCUCACUCCUCCCAAGGCUUUGCUCUCCAUCUUCUCAAGGCCUCCUGUCAUUUUGUGCUGAGCAUGAAGGCUCCAAUGUCAAAACAGGAUGGAUCACGGGGACUGGCAGACUCGACUUUGCCUUUUUGAGCUUUGUGGCCCAGUAAUCCCAUAGCUAUCAUGGGGGGAGGGGGUCACACUUUUCUUUAUUUAUUUUUUCUUUUUUAAUAAAAAAAGUUUUACUCCCCAGGAGCAAAUAAAUCAUUUCGAACUACUGAUAAACACUGCUGCAGUGAAAAGAAAGAUGGCUACAUGUAUGCAAUAGCACAAAUUCAGUGUAAGAAGAGCUGUGUUGACGAUUAGAGAUAAAAAUCAUUUAUCCAUUCCCCCUUUCCCACAAACCAAACCAAGAGGAUUCCCAUAGGGAAAAUGUCUAACUCAGAAGCUCUUCCCUUAGGGACAGGGGGCGUGUCAUUCUCUUCAAAGUGGAAAACAAAUGGCAGGUCUCCCCCCAGUAGAGAUGCUCUCAACACCCCAACCAGUGGCAAGACUUCUGCAAAUGAAGACGCACACACGGGCGCACACAUGUGCACACACAGACGUGCAGACCUCCUUCCAGCAGCCGUAGGGCUGGAUCCCAGUGCCUAGUCCUCCAGCUUCAGGGCUCAGAGCCAGGGCGAGGCGCAGGGCAGGGAAGGAUCAGACCUAGGGGGAAAGUCCCUCCUAUCCUGCUUCCUGCGGGGACCCCAGGGCUGCAAGCAGGCCAGGUUCUUCAUGGGCCUGGGAUGGGGCUGAAAAGGCUGCUCCCCAGGGCAUCCGGCUCUACCCCAACCUCUGACACCCAGAUCUGGGGGCACUAAUCCCUGCCCCACACUCCCCAGGUCCUCCUGGUGUGCGCGGUAGGGGUGUUUGCAGCUAUCUCCACAUCACUCCCAACCUCAACACGGGGCCUACACAGUCAGCCCCAGGGAAAAGGAGCUAAGGAGGAGGGUAGAAACCGUGGCAGCAAGCUCUCUGCCAAGCCUUUCCUCCCAGGAGGCUGGUGCCGCAGGCCACGGCUCCCAUUCCAGGGUGUUACAUUCACUAUAUCUAGGCACAGGCAGGUGACCAGGCCAAGGUCAUUGCCAGUGGUCCCAAACUGCCAGUUGUCACCCACUGAUCUAGUCCCCACACCAAAGCCCCGCCCUCCUUACUCCUGUGCUCCUACCACAGCACAUGCACUUCAAGUAACAGCGAGUUAUAGCAGUAGUUGUCACUGGCUCACAGUGGUUCACGCCUGUCCCAAGGAAAGUUACAGUAGAUCAAUCAUAAACAAGCGAGCGUUACACAGGCAGGGCCUGAGGGUCCUGACAUCAGCCGUCCACUGAGAAAUGGAUGAUGAGUCCCUAACAGGGAGAACCUUCUCCAGUUUAUGACUUUAAAACCACCACCAAAAAGGAAUGCAUUUCCUCUGUAGAUGCAUUUCAAUGAGCUCUACACAGACCUGGCAAAGCAGGGGCUGGGCCCAGGCAGAAGAGGUGAAAGGGAAGCGCUGACCGGCCAGCUGUUUCUGCCCCCAACCCUGUUUACUCUCUGACCAGGCUGGCACCUCAGCCAACUGCCCCACUGCCGCCUCUUCCUCCUCACCCGCUGAUGGAGCCUAUCUCCUCUUUCGCGACUCUGUCUUGUAGUCCACUCUACUGGGGAAGGACCAUGCUACAGCCUGGAUGGUGACCAAUGCACAGACAGCUCAUGGACACAGGUAAACACUGCCCUUCCAGGAGAAGAAGGAAGGAUGGUGGGGAGGCUGGGUCACACCUCCUCAGCUGGUUUGGUUUUGCACCUGAGUGUAUGAAUUCUCCCAGAGAAACCCCUGGUACCACAAGGGGUACAGGGGCUCACCCAGGCUGUGCAGAGAACAGUGAGCUCCCAGGCUACGGGCAGGAACUGGCUGACUUCCGGCUUGGGGCUCUACUUCACCAUUAUAACCCCUCAGCAUUCAGAUCUGCCUGAUACACGGGAAGUUUCGCUCGAGACCAUAGCACUUUGAAAGGAUUCUUUGCUGCUCUGCUGUGCACUCAGGACUGUGCGCUGUUCAGGACAUGCCAUGAGGAUUCUGCCUCCACACUUUUGUUCAUGUUUCUCAUCUCACUGUCCUGCCCUCGCCUACGACCCAAAGCCUCACAACCAUGGAGCUUUCCUGACCAUCUGGUCUACCCUGAUCUUAUCCAUUCUGAAUUCCUUUACAGACAGCCCUUGAUUCUCUCUGCCACACUGUCAUCCUCCAGUUGCUUCAUGUGUGGACAGUCACCUAAAAGUUCCCUUAGCCCAGAUAUCAUGUCUUCCACCUCUUGUGUUUUCCACAGCUUCUAGACCACAGCAAGGCAAGCACAUACUAAAAAUAAUUUUACAAUUAUGAGUGGCAAAAAUGGUAAAAAAAAAAAAAAAAGAAAAAGAAAAGAUCCCAGGUAGCUGCACAUCAGCCGCUCGAGGAUCACAACCGACUGCAGGCUGCAGGCUGCAGGCUCCACAGCGGGCUGGGCCUUUGCAGGAUAGCAAGUUAGUCUGCACCCUCAGGAGGCAAGACUCACGAGUUACGCCGAUUUCUGGGAUCACAAUCUUAACUGGUGGGUAAUAUGACCAUGGAAGCCAAGGAGAGAAAAGGUACCUCAGGACAAAUCAGAGGGGGACUGUGUUUAUGCUACAAAGCUCAAUUUGUGGGCCACUUCUUUGAAGCCAGGUAACUAUGCAAGUUCCUCCCAACUUAGCUACAAGGAGGAAGACUGGUCAUUCCAUGCAGGACGUAAGGCAGAAGGCCAGAUGAGGCAGAUUACCAAGACACGGGGCUUCACCCCGAUCCAGGAAACCACAAACCCAACAAUAUUAUUUAUCUCAUGAGAUGAGGCAGAUAUAAGCAGAGGGGAACCAAAAGAAGCAGUCUAAUGGAACACCUACUGAAAAAGAGUAAUAAAGACCAAACAGCUCAAUUUUUACAUCUUAAUAGCAAACCCUUCCCCAGAGUAACUCCACAGAAAAGCAAACUCAUAAUGUUAUGAUUUGACAAUGGCCUGCUUCAUAAAAAAUUAAAGACCAGUGAAAAGCACUGGCGUUUUUCUCCCUCCUCCUCCACUCCCACCUGGGAGACAGGUAACUCUCAAAUCAGCAUCUGACAGACUUUCCAGUGAAAGGAGGGCAAACAGGAUCUGACUCAGGAAAAUGUUUGCAUUGCUAGAAAGAACACAGGAGAAUUAAGAAGCCCUUGCUACCUCCCAUCCCAGAAGUGGGACAACAGUGAUAAACCCAAAACCGUGAGAUGUAAUGCUCUCCUCCUUGCCGAUCUGGGGACCUCCCAUUCAGGCUGAGUCACCACAGAGCUUUCUCUAGGAAGAGCACAGUGACAAUGGCUUCCUUUCUCACCUUGCUCCACAUUCCCUCUCACUAGCUGACAGACAUAUGGAGGUAAGCAACACUGACUCCUAAGUCACGGGUACAGUUUGCCAUUAAGGAUCUGGAAGCGCGCUCCACUAACUCUAGCAGCCCACGACUGGAGCUCUGAACUGCUCAGGUGAUGAGAAGAACUAUUGCCUUAACAGCUGGCAGAAGCAACAGGAAUGAUGUUACCAUGACCAGAGUGAAAUGUACAGUUAUCUCGAGGGGAAUGAGUUGAGGGUAGAGGAAGAAUGGGGCUAACUUGAGGUCACAAAACUUAGGAAUUCAGUAAAAUAAAACUAACAGAUUCUUUGAGAGGUGAUCCCGAAAUCAGGUUCCUAAACCUUAAAAGGAACGGAUGUGAGGAGUCACUGUUUCCCCUGCAGAGGCCACUUGCCAGUUUCUGUCCGCUAAUCUGCUUUCAAGACCACCCACCCUCCUCUCCUUCCUGCUCCUCCUGCGGCUGCCCUUGCUCACAGAGAAGCAGAUUCUGAUCCCUCGGAAACUCCCAGCUUGAUCUGCACUUCUGACUCCUUCUCUUCCCUUCUUCAAAGUCAGUGGUGAAGACUCGCACUCUGCCUUUGGCACCAGCUGAAUGACCGUCACUGGCAAUCAAUCCCCUGCCCCCACUUCCCUUCCUUCGGACCUGCUCACCCUUGGACCACUUCCAAUGCCAUGGGCACAAACCCCAGCCGCCUUUAACGUGAGUUUUCCAUACCGAGAAAUGCAAAUAUCCAAAACAAAAUUUCUGAAAAAGGAACAGUGUUGAGACUUCUUCCAGUUUUCCAAGCAGCUCAUUCAGUUCCGGGACACCACAGGGGCUGGAUGGGAAGGGUGGCGCCCCACUCAGAGAGGACGGCUGUGUGCUUCUUCCAAGCCCCAGGGUCACGAGGGGAACCAAAGUCUUCGUGCAGAGGAUCCCAACCCUUCCUAUUUCCUCUUGCCUUUCCUCACUCCUCUUUUCAUGGUGGCUUCAUUUGGUUCUUCAAAACUGGAGCUUAGCAACCAAAUGCCUAGGUAAAAAAGUGGAAAAAAUUAGAGUGGUUCAACAGAGUGGAACCAAAAUGGAGCGAAGAAGAGCCUGGCCUCUGGAGGUGAAGAAGUACAGCUAAGGAGAACGGAGUCUGGACAGCCAGACACUUCCACAAACACUGUGGCUGGCCAGCGACGUAGCAAACGGCCCUUGUCAGGGGGGCCUGAGCAGCCAACGACAUGGACGCCAAAAAAAGGUCCUAAAAUAACUAAUAAACAUAUCCCACCACAUUGCCCAACUUCUCUCUUCCCUUUUCUCUUUAAUUUUCCACCCACUCUUUUUCCCACUUCUUCUCAGAGGCCAACCUGCUCGAGGGGCUAAAAAAGGAACUGAGCCCCUGGAGUAAGCCGUUGUGAGCCUGGCUAGGAACAGCUGUAGGUCUCUGCAGCUUCUGGCUAGAGAAGAGCGCUGACAUAAUCACAAAGGCCAGUGCAGCUCUAGCCUCUGAUGUAAGAAGGGCACUGUUGCAGCUGUUGCUCUGUCCUGACUCCAAGUACCCCGGCAUGAAAUCCCCCAGGUAACAGCAGGCACAGAACUCUCAAAUUAAAAUUGGCCUGACUAAAAGAAGUCUUAAGGGCCAAAUUUCACACCGUGAAGACCUUUCCCUUGGGAAGUGUCAUUACUUUUCUUCAUGGGGUCCCAGGGUCUAACCAGGAGCAAGUACAGCAUGAUGCUUGUUCCUUGCCACAGGCAACAAAGUGUCAGAGCAAACAGAGAGCCUGGGAGUUCAGUUCAACCCUUUGCCAGUAAAUGGCUGCCCCCACACUCAUGACAAAUGGCUACCCCUGGCCUAUCCCUGAUCGUAUCACGGCCCUUCCCAUUUCAGGGCCUUUAUACUUACAGGACCUCUUGCCCAGAAUGCUCUGCUCCCACAUCCUCUCAUGGCUGACUCCUUGAUAUUCAGCUCUCAGCUAAAAUGUCACCUCCUCACAGGAGCCUUCCUGGAUCACCCAAACUUGAGUAGUAUCUCACCACUAAUCACUAAAUUUCACCCAGCUUUAUUUUCCUCAUAACAUGCACAGUCAACUGUAAUUAGCCUGUUCAUUUCUUUACAUGUUUGCUGUCUGUCUCUAUGCAGACUGCAGCUCAGGGAGAACAGGGCCUUCGAUGACCAGCACUCUCUUCCCCAGUUCACACUGGGUGCUUAACAAACAUGGAGAUAUCUGCUGAGUGAAGAAACAAAUGGGGCGCUCACUAACUCCUGUGGAAAACCAUCCCAUUUUGGACCUCUUCUAAAGCUGGACUGAAAGCUAACUCCUUCUAACUUACAUCCAUUGUGGUCCUUGUCCUACCCCUGGAACCACACAGAGAAAGUUUAAUCACUCACCCUUAGGAAAAUCCAUCAAACACUUGGGCUAUCAAGGCCCUCUUACCCUAAAACUUCUCUGCUCCAUGUUAACCAUUUAUUCCCCAUAUGAUGAAGUCUGAAGCCCUCCACUAUCCUGAGCCUUUCUCUGACUGUACUCCUGGCCACGUGGGUUCCUCCUAAGGCACAGCACCUGCAGAAGUGGUGCUCUAACUGAAGGGUCCUAAUGACUCCUCGAGGGUGCAGUCGAGCAGGUGAGCCUCCCUAGUUCCCUUCUACCUUCCCAGACUAAUUUCAACUGCAAAGCCACCAAGUAGAGAAAUCCUCCUAGGCAUUAGCAUUUAGAUGUUUUAGGCGUCGCUUCCAAGGGCAUACAAAAUUGCGUAUAAUUGCAGGUAUGAUAAGAGAUUGUACACCCAAUCCAGGAUCCUUUAAGUUAAAACUCUACAGCCUCCCAGAGUUAGCAUUUCUUGAUCCCGCUUCUUCAUUCUUUCUCGCCUUGUUAACCCUUAUUAGCCUGGCUCACGUGCUUUUCCCCAAUAGCACAGGAUCAGGGACUUCCAGGGCCAAGAGGAAACAGACAACUGGGCUCAAAAAAACCCAUGGGAUAUAAACACCAAUUGUCACUCUCUCCCAUUAUGAACAGAGCAGAGAGAAUGGAGAGAUUAAAGCCCCCUUUUCCUGCUAAGGCGACUGCUCCUGUGGUUUUUCCCCUUAAGUUUGUUUUCUGCGGGGGAUGGGAGUGGAGAACAGAGAAGGUUAGAAGCAGAAGUAUUCAGUCCCUAAAAAGGACACUCCAGCGCCAGCCCUGUGGCAGAGUGGUUAAAGUUCCGUGCAUUCCACUUUGGAGGCCUGGGUUCACAG